rnacentral:rRNA from 1 species
GAUGAACGCUGGCGGCGUGCCUAAUACAUGCAAGUCGAACGAGGUGCUUUUGUAGCAAUACGAGAGUAUCCUAGUGGCGAACGGGUGAGUAACGCGUUGGUGACCUACCCCAAGUGUGGGAUAACAGUCCGAAAGGAUUGCUAAUACCGCAUGUGGUCUUCGGAUUUAGAAACUGAUGACUAAAGGAGCAAUUCGCUUUGGGAGGGACCUGCGUCCCAUCAGCUAGUUGGUGAGGUAAUGGCUCACCAAGGCUACGACGGGUAGGGGACCUGAGAGGGUGACCCCUCACAAUGGAACUGAAACACGGUCCAUACACCUACGGGUGGCAGCAGUAGGGAAUAUUGCACAAUGGGCGAAAGCCUGAUGCAGCAACGCCGCGUGUGCGAUGAAGGCCUUCGGGUCGUAAAGCACUUUUCUGGGAGAUGAGCAAGGACAGUAUCUCAGGAAUAAGUCUCGGCUAACUACGUGCCAGCAGCCGCGGA